ensembl:lncRNA
CUGGCUGGGUGUGGAUUUACAGGUUACUUAGGCAAGUCUAAAAUUUCCAUUUAAAUGAAACUCUUUGGUCACAUCAUGCACUGGCAAAAUGUAUUUCUUUAUAACCCUUCAGAUGUGUGUUUUAUGGAUUAAUCUUCAGUUAUCACAUUGUUCAGUAAAACCCUCUAUUAAAUAAGGCAUCAAAGUCUUUGGUUUUGUGGGGGUUUCUCUCUUUUUUUUCCCGAUACAUGUUUUAAUGGGAUUGGAUUUAAUCAUAAAAAGAACUAAUUGUUUUUAUCUCUGUCAUUUCCCAUAAAACACACGAGACUGAAAUAGAAGAGAUAAAUUUGAACAAAGGGUUCAUAAAAUUGCAGUAGAGAUUUGUUGCUCUUAAUAGAAAAUGAAUGAGAACUAAUCCCACAUGAUAGCCAAGAAUGUGUGUUUUUCUUUUAUUUUUGAAGUGUUUUAUGACAACUGAAGCAACAUAGUUUUUUGUUUUUUAUUUUUAUUCUUAAUCAUUUGCAACCCUGAAAGAAAGUCAGUCAUAAACACAGAGGGUGGGUUAGAUUAGACUGGCUGUCAUCAAUAUGGCUUUAGCCAUGAUCAUCACCCUGUCCCUAACACUAGCUCAUAACGUAGCCAAGGAGUGGCUCUCCUUGCUUGAAAGAAAGUGUAAUAAUAUCUGUCAUCAUUCAUUCCUAUUUGACCUAUCAUUUGUAUCGUCCAGCCUUACAUUGUUUUAUGUGAUGCUGCAGAGCGUGACCUCUGUUAGAGACGGGGAAGUAAGAUUUACUCGAAGGUUCGGUGGAUGAAUGGUGUGUCAUUUAGUUAAAGAUUAAAGCGUGGGGGAGUAAGCCAACAGCCAGGCAACAGAGGCGUCUACCAUUGGGUGGCACCGGUCCUCCCACCAAAUAUCAUUAACUUUUAAUAAUUUUAUCAAGUAUUUUACUGUUUAAUGCUGCACAUGUGUCUGAAAAUUGUGUUUUCUACUCCAGUUUUCUACACUUCCUUGAAAUUAAGACAGGGCAGAGAGGUCAUACGGCCUCAUUCUUGUUAUGUUUUUGUCUUUAGUCCCUGUUUACUGCUGUUGAGUCACAAAAUUGCCCUUUUGUCUGCAGCAUCUUGCAUUCAAAGCAAAUCCACAAUUUUGAGUCAGCCAUGACACAGCAGCAUCAAAGGUCAUCUCCAGACACCAGCACCUUUGUCAUUAUUAAACUUUGGUUGGGAAUUACAGUACAGGUA